UGCUCAGAGGCAGUUUCCUGUGUGGACACGAAGGCUAUGCUUCCUUCCUUAAGUGGGAAGGAUUCUAUAGGAUCAAUACCUAAAAAAAGCUUCCCAAUGUACCUUCUAAGCCCUUAGCUCCAGGUAUGUAGCAGGUCAGCUCCUCUCCGACCCCUUUCCAAUCUGUAUUCCUUUGGAUUAUCUCUCCUGAUUUCUUCCCAAUAAAUCUACAUGUGACAUCUUGCUUCAUACUUUUCCUAAGGAAAAUAUUUUCAGACACUCUUCAUCCAGAAUCCUGAUCGACUCCUAGUCCCGCCUAUCUUACUUCCCUAUUGGCCAACAGUGAUUUGUUCAACAACCAAUAAGAGACAGAUUUACAGAAUGGCAUCUCCCAUCACAUGCCAAAGUGACAUGUUUCUCGGUGACGCUGAGAAAGAGGGUCUGAGAGAACCUGAAAGGUGAAGAAGACGGUAAAUGACUUUCUCUGUGAUUAAUGAGACCAGAAAUAAAUUGAUGUUUGGCACUGGAAUUCUGUAGCCUGAUUCCACUAACUCUGGCAAACAAGUAAGGACAUUUAUCACCAUGGACCAUGUCUUCACAGGCUCUUCAGGGCAAUGUGUCACAGACAGCAAGGUUUACAUUUGCCUCCCACUCAUCUGUCUCUGCAUGUGGUGCUCACCUUUUAUCUGCCAUGAUCUAGAGAUCUGAAAGACAAAAAUCCAUGGAUGAGAUUCACCCUCUUCAUGGCAAUAUCUCAUCUCCAUAGCUGCUUCCCUCAGCCUCACCUCCCGUUAUAGACUGAAUAUAAGGAAACAUAGCAGGCAGAGGCAUUUUAAUGGCAUUGGAGUGAAUUCUACAAUUGAUGCCAUUAGUCACAUAAAGAAAAGAACUGCCCACACAUCGACUGCUGACUUCGGACAUUCUGUCCUACUGUGCUUGCAGGAGAUAAAAUUAGAAGACUGCUGAAUCUUGCCACGUCAGGCUAUUGAGACCUGCAAACAGAAGAGUAAUGGCUGCAUCAACCUCUUCACAAAUACGCAGUGAUCUUACAGGUAAAAUGCAGAUGAAGAUGAUCUACUAGAGCACGAAUAUGAAAGCUCAUAAUCACACAUCAGCAAGAGUGAUACUAAGGAAUAUCAAUGGAGAAAAAUGGGAAUGUUUAUUUAUCAAAAAUCUGGAAACUAUCAAAAUCAUAGACUAUUUUGUUUCAACAAUAAUGAAGUGUGCAUUUAUGAGUGAGUCCCUAAACCUGGAUCCACGUUGUUUGAUGGUGAAUGUCACUGAUCGUCUGACAGUGUAAGGAUGUUGUGAAUUCUGUGACAGGGAAGUGCAUGCUGACGCUCAUCGACCAACCAGACAAUUUCUGGGAGGACGUGCCCCCUGUGCAGUCUAUGCAUGGGAAAUCUUCAGUACUCCGGGACUCUGCCUUUAGUAGUUGUGUACAGUGAUUCCUAGUAUAGCAUUACUUGCAUGUGUGCUUACUCAGUGCAGCAAAGCUACUUUGCUUUGAAAAUGAAAAUGAAGUCUAUGCUUAAUAUCCUUUAUGAAGUAUAGCACUUACCUUCCUAUGAGAAACUGAAUCUUUAAUAUACAGGGUUAGUUAGAUUACUUUUUAUAGGCUGUUUGUAGCAACGUUUUCCUACAGGUUAUAUUAUAUAUGCAGCAGUGCUGGCUUCUUGGUCUAUCUGUGCAGGCCUUGUCUUCUGGACCUGGGAUCUGAGGACCUGAAAGAAUGGGGCUGAUUCCAGUCUACUGCUAUAGACAGUUUUGCUUUGGUUUCAGUACACUUUCACAUGAAAAUAUAACAAAGCAAUGAUUCAAGGAAGGUUGCCUGAGUCCAGAAAAACAUGUACAUAAAUGUCAGUAAGCCUAUACUAAAUAUUAACAGAGCAGCCCUUUCCCAGAACUUUCUCAGGACAGAUCAAUUUAAAUUGCCUGGCAUGAACUAUAGAGUACACCUUGGAAAACAUGAAAGCAAAGCAGAAGGCCACAUCCAGAUUUAGGAUGCACUGAGCAGAUUUGGUUCUACAGCUAUGUUCUGACAUCCAAUAAGAAUAAACAUGUCUUAUCAAUUGAAUGUAAAUGUUUAGCACACGGGGCACAAAAUUACAUCCAAAAAUCAAUCCGGUGAACAACAUGUAGCUGAGGUAAAAGGCCCCCUGCCUUUUUUCCUGGAGCCUCUCUCACAGUUCCCCAAGGCAUUAUUCACCAUGCAUCAUUAUUUUUCUUUCAUUUUUGCAUAAUUCUUUAUUGAUUCUUUGGAAAUUUCACACAACGUAGCCCAGUCCUGCUUACCUCUUAGUCCUCCAAGUCUGCCUCAUGCCCGUGCAACAUGCCCCCCUCCAAAACUAGUUAGAAACAAAACAAACAACCAAAAAUCUACCUCGCUCCUUCAUCUUUCCAAUACCUCUUCAUUCAUCCUAUGGCAUUGGGAGCUCGGUGUGUCACACAGUAUAACCUUUUGUCCAAUCAGCGCCCCACCCAAAAAUCAAUGUUCAUUGCAAUGAGUCAUGUGUCUGGUUCAAGGACUCUGGAACACCAUCAUCACUGGACCCUCACUGAAACCCCUCUCAGAUAUCCUGCUGUUUCCUCGAGUCUGAGAUGCCACAGCUAUCAUUUUGCAGGACGGGUCUCCUGCAAAACUCCAGCAGGCCACAGAUGGAGCAGAUAUCAGUGUGAGCCCAAGGUAUGGGUCUGGGUGGUAGCUGAGCCAGUUGGUGGGGGGCAAUGGGUAGAAGAGAGGUGGUGCCAUCUCUGCUGAAUGUGGAGGUCAGCCCUCCCAUUAGUAGGUGGGAUCAGCUCUUCUACUGCAGUGUCCAGCAAGGGGCAGGGCCAGCUAUCCCAGUGACACCUCAGAUUUUAACCCACAUGGGUCCUAUCACCCCCUGUAGUAACACAAGUUGUGGACAUCAGCUCAGACCCUGGCUGCUGUUGGGCCACAGAUGCAGUAUCACAGGACCAGAUGACACAAUCGCUCCAUUUGGCAGCACAGGCCAUCCAGAUGAUCAUGGCUCUGGUGGCAACUGACCCUGGUACACCAACAUGGGCUCAGGUAUUAGGCCAGACCCGUGGUCAUUGGCACAGCCAUCAGUAGUUCAGAAGCCAUGGAUAUCCAUAUAGAACCUGGUUGCUGCAAGGCCAUGGAUCUGGACAUGGCUCUCAGCAGCAGGCCAGGACUGGAAAUCAUCAUGUUCCCCAGUGGUAGAAUAGGCGACUCAGAUAAACAUUGCUCCUAUUACAGCACAUCCCUUGAACACCAAAAUGGCCACAGUUGGUGACCCAUAGUACUUAAGAACAUAAUCUUAGUAUCAAAUGGCGAAACUAUAUACUUAUUUAGCAAAAUUUUAACAAAAUGUAUUUAGCAAAUAUGUUUUUAUGUUAAGUGAAAGCACAGAAUUGUAGCUAAAUCUUUGGCACAAUAAGUGUAAUUAACAUUUAGUAGGAAUUAUUAUGAAAAGGAAUUUGUUACAUAAGUUUCAUUUUGUCAUGUUCAUGUUUAAUAAAGCAAACAUUUAGAUAAUUAUGGGAACUGAAAAAUGAACAUUUUCAUCUGAAAAGUAGACUAUUUUGUGGCUCUUUCAUAGGACUUUAGCCUACUUCUGGCUAGCAUGCCUUUUGAAAAGACCAAACAUUUGGAUUAAGAACUGGGAGAAAUGAUAAUUCGAUCACUCAGAUUAAUUAGAAGUUCAUGUGAAGGAAGUGAAGAACUCAUUUAUUUUAGUUGUGGAUUCAGUAUGUCUAUCAACCAUAUGCUGAUGAACCAGCCUUCCCCCAUCUUAGGCUUAAAAGUCAUUUUAAAGACAAACUAGUCUCAUUCUUGUUUAUAAUUAAACCUCUGUUUCUCAAGGAUUGACCUGUGUCCCACCUAUAACCCUAACUACAAAUGGUUUUGUAUUGCCUGUUCCAGGAAAUAGCAAUUAUGUCUUUGUUUCAAAACUAUAUUGCAACCCUUCCUUUGUUUCAAAAGGUUUUCAUGACUACCUAUUGUUGUGACUACCUUGCUAAGACCACCUUAACAUCAUGUAUUUGUUUCAGGAGGUUGUUAAGACUCACUUGUUAUGCUUAUGUUCUGAUUUUGUAGCCCUGCCUGUUUUGCCUGCUAAACAAAGUUGGAACCUGCCAAACUACAAAAAUCUUGUUUUCCUUAUGUCUGGUGCUGACCUCUUGAAUCUGGUUUUAGAGAGACAGCAUUUGUAUGCUAUUUAAAAGCUUGCUUUAAUUACUUUGGCCAUGAUGAUUUGAGUUGGUGUCCUUUCCCCUUGAAUCUUUGGUGAUUAACACCUCUUGUUCAUGUCAUAAGAAGGUUGUGGUAUUUUGUUUUAUUUUUAAUAAAAGUAUAUUUGAGAGAA